UGACGUAAUCGUUCUAUUUCCUUUUCUUUCGAGGUGCAGAAUGGUGCACGUGCUGCCUCGACGAUAUGCCCGUGCUAACAAUAACGCUCGAGAAAGCGAGCAGAAACACAUCAGAACCACUAUGAUUUCCUGUUCAUGCUCAACAACGGAUCACUGAUAUGGGAUGGACACAGAUGUGGAGAAUUAGAUUUUCAGCUGUAGCUUCAGGAGAGAUAGCAACACAGACUGGAAAACCUCAAUGUGGGAUCGUAAAGGAAGCCUUGAUGAGACUGAAACUGUUACAUGACUCCUAUCUUAUCCCUGAUUCGUGGAAUUGGUGAAUUGAUGCUCAGAUGACCAAAGGGAGCAGUGUCUAGUCCUUUCUGAGGUUUGUCAAAAGACUGAAGAUAACCAUUCUAAUACAGAAUCUGUCAUGGAAAGGAAAGGGUAAAGCCUGGAAUUAAUUACAUCUCUGACCUUUUCAUGUUAUAUGACUCAGCUAAAUUUCUAUAUAUUGAAACAGAACAGCUUGGAUUUUAAGCAGAAUGCAGUGAUGUAUGCAGAUAAAUUCCCUUUAACACCACAAUUAAGUUGGUGUAAAACAGCACACAUACAGGUAAAGCUAAAUUAUGCAUGUUAAAAACUAAAUGUUUUAUUGGAAAAACUACCUCUAUUGUGACAAGUUAAUGGAUUAUUGUUGGUAAAUGAAUUUUUUUUUACAUUAAUGUUAAUAAAUUGAAAUACUGGA